rnacentral:sRNA from 1 species
CAAACAGCUUUCAGCACAAUAAAAAGUUCAGUUUCAAACUGGAGUCGAUGGAGGUUGAUCUCUCUCCUUCUCCGAUUAGAAAAUCCGAGAUAGCAGCCGGCCCUGCGAGAAUCUCCGUGAUUAGUCCACCUCAAGAUGGACGCAUGGGCAGCGUCUCCUCCCGGGGCCCUGAGCAUCCCGGCCUGACGCCGAGUCAGAGGAGCGUGGAAAAGCCUCUCAGUGUGAAGUUUUGAAGUCAUUACAAAGACAAAGUUGAUGUGUUUUUACCACGACUCUCGAUGCCUCCUGCGGGACCUGCUCACCUUGGGGCAGUGACGCGUGAAAGAUGAGCACCCAGCCACCCGCUCUGCCCCCUUCCAGUCCUCCAGCCUUCGUGCCUACCAGCAUGUGUACGUUAGACAGCCAAUGCGACUGUACUUUCUCUCUUGAUGAAAUAAUUAAGUAACGUAGUCGAAUAAAGUAUUUUUCUGAUUA